UCCCCUCAUCCGCAUCUCCGCCAGUCCCUCCAAACCGACUCCGGUGUGGCAGACACCCAGCAGCUGGUCUCCAUGGCCAAAAGGCUCCCGGGAGGCAGAUCCAGAAGUCCACAAAAAAAAAGCACCACAGAGGUCACGAAAGUGGCACCCCUUGUCACACAGUCCCAAAGGGUCCCGGACCAAAAGGCAAAAAAAUAUAAUAAGACAUGAAAACAAGAGGGAAACACAAAAGGAUGACACAAGAGCACAGAGCUCCUGCCUACAGCAGCCACUACAGCAGCGCCAUCUUGCUUCAAUGGAGAAAAGUGUACAACCUAAGUCGUCCAAAGUGUCGGAACACUUUACUUUAAAGACUUCAAAGAAGACAGUUUCCUGCAAAACGUGCAGCAUGGACGUCGCGUGGCACGGAAGGACAACAUUGCUUCGGGAGCAUCUGAAGAGCAGACAUGUUGGAACCAUGGAUGAAGGGUAGAACUCACGUGCGGGGCUGAUAAUGUGUCUGCGGCAGAUUUGAGAGAGAAAACGCACGGUUACCAAUUUGGAAAUGAACAUAACGGACAGAAAUAUCUCAGAAAGAACCAAGCCAGCAUUAGUGACUUGGUACAAAGGAAGGUGUGCACACCACAGCAGGGGGCUGCAUCGACUGAUGCUAUCCUGAAUAUGUUGCUAACUGACAUGAGGCCACUAUAAAUGGUGGAGGAUGAAGGUUUUAGACAAAUGAUUCAUGUCCUCAACCCUAGUUACACUCUUUCCUCGAGUACCCAUUUGACCAAACUGAUGGAGAGGAUGUACGAGCAGACAUUGCAAGCAGUGUAGACUGACAUAAAAGCCACCCAGAGUAAUUUGCUCUCACUCCUGAUUUGUGGACAGGUGUAGCCCAUCUAUCCAUCCAUUUUCUACCGCUUAUUCCCUUUGGGAUCGCGGGGGGCGCUGGUACCUAUCUCAUAUACGAUCGGGCGGAAGGCGGGGUACACCCUGGAAAAGUCGCCACCUCAUCGCAGCAAGCUUACCUUGGCAAUACAUGCCGUUACAUUGGAGAAGAAUGCAACAUGAAGUCAAUCUGCCUUACGAUCAUGCCACUAGAGGAAAGACAUUUCGCAUCAAACAUUGCAGAGUGGUUGUAAUAAGUAGUAGCCAAGUUUGAAAUUCCCCCGAGCAAAAUUAUUGCUAUUGUGCAGGACAAUGGUACACUUUAUAAAAAAAAAAAAAAAACAUUUUUGUAACAUUUGCCUUAUUUUAUUUGGCAAGUUGGAAGAACCUGGUGCUAGUAUGCGUUCUUUUUCCCCCAAUAAAAUACUGGAAAGGAUAGAAAUGUAGUUUGUCUCUUUUAUCCGAUUAUCCAUCAAUUAAUCGAAGUAAUAAUAGACGGAUUAAUCGAUUAUCAAAUUAGUUGUUAGUUGCAGCCCUAGAUAAAUCAUUACAGCUCACUGUAACUGCAAGUUUCGGCCGUGCUCCCUUGUUGUUGUUAUUGAUGCAUGCCUUGUUACGAGUAUGUGUGGUUUUUCCAUAUUUUUCCUUUUUCAAAAUAUACCUAUAUAUCUCGACGAUAUGUACAGUAUGUGCUGUAAGCUUCAUUUAUGAUUGUUACUUUUGAUAAAAGCUUAAAUCUUGUAGGUUUAGCUCAUAUUCGCUUUUUUAUUUUCAGACUAGCUGAGUUGGUGGUUUACAGAAAAUUGGUUGCAAAAAUGCGUUUUAGGAACAAGAUAAAGCAGAAAUAAUAUCAGGAUAAUACUUAAAUGGGAAAUGGUAAACGUUAAAUAUAUAUCAAAUAAACCUUUAAAAAAGUGAUCACUACAAAUGUGUGUAGUUCUCGUCGUCCUAAGCCAAGGGCGUAGAAUUGGGUAGGGACGCUAGGGACACGUCCCUACCAAUAUCCAGCCGCAACUGUGUAGUCACUUUCAAUACAACCGCUGCCCUUAAUGUUUAGUCAAUGAUUAUGGCACAGAAAGGGUUAAAUGUCGGUCUCUGCCAGAAGUCCCGCCUCUAACCUAAAUAUCCCUCCCUGAUUGGUUACCGCUUUCAAGCUAACUUACGUGUGAUUGGCUCUCCCCGCUGUCACUCCUCACUGUGGAAAAAACAGUCCCACCUAUCCAGACCUUAGCUCCAAAUUAGCACUGCAUCUCGACUUUUCCUCCGCUUUUUUUCCAGGUGAAAGUCAAUGCUCAGUCCCCUUUACCAUUGUUAACCCUCCCCGUAGGUGAAAGUUAACCUUAAACAUGUGAAUUCAACUACUUUAGUCCGUUUUUUAACAUCGUAAAAAAGUCAGCUGUCUCUUUCUACGGACUGCAACAGUCCGUUGUCAUGGAUACAUGACAACAACUUCCAUUCAUAGCAGUCAUACGUACCUGAGGCGGAGUGAUAGCCUACGCUGUGAUAAGGCUUUAGAAUAGUAGCCGUGCUCAAUAUUUAAACCACGGUUGACAGCCAAUCAGAUCGCCGGAUUUCACCUUUCCGUUUUAUUUUUUUAUUUUUUUUUAGUUUCAUGUAACAUAUUUACAUUUCAAAAGCAGCGAUAGAAAGAAGUAGAUGAAGGGAAAAAUGUGAGUGAUUUAAACACAAGUUGGGGAAAAGAUUAUUACAGUUCAUUUAUGUUUAUUUACAGUGUUGUAUUGCAUGAAUGUAUUUCUGAUUUUGUUGAUGGACAGUAGGCUAUGUUCAUUGACAGUAUGAUGCACAGUUGCACUACAGAGUAAAAAUGAGAACUCUUCCAAGUUGUCUCCUUUGCUUUCAUUUUAGUUACUUUACCUUAUAACAUCUGCAUGACGUGAAAUUAUGAUUGCUAAUGUUAAAAAAAAAAAAAAAAAAAGUUAACUUUCAGAGUGCGGCCUUGGAGCACUUUUGUGUCCCCACCAAUCUCAAAAUCAAACCUACUCCCUUGUCCGAAGCUCUUUCGCCCUUCUUGAUUACGUCUUGAGGAACUCUGAAGAAACGUGUAUCCUUUUCGCAAUUUGAACGGUUCCAACAGCCUAAAACAAUGCAUGCAUCCGGAAUUUUUCUUUGAGAAAGGCAAAGUGCCGCCGAGAACACCGUGACAACAGACACUCGCUUGACCACCACCUUUAGUCCCGCAUACCUGUUAAUGAGCCAGACGUGCUGUCAGGUAAAUAAAACCUAUUUCAUGUUUAAAAGGCUCCAAUGAUGUUUUAAAAAUAUAGACGUCUUGUCAGGUAAAUAAAACCUAUUUCAUGUUUAAAAGGCUCCAAUAAUGUUUUAUAAAUAUAUUUAGGAGCUCAUAAACAUAUAUUUUAUGCUUUCACUAAAAUAUACAAUUGAUUGAUAAUAAUCCUACU